rnacentral:rRNA from 1 species
CCUACGGGAGGCAGCAGUGGGGAAUAUUGGACAAUGGGGGGAACCCUGAUCCAGCCAUGCCGCGUGUGUGAAGAAGGCCCUCGGGUUGUAAAGCACUUUCAGUGAGGAAGAACGCCUGGUGGUUAAUACCCAUCAGGAAAGACAUCACUCACAGAAGAAGCACCGGCUAACUCCGUGCCAGCAGCCGCGGUAAUACGGAGGGUGCGAGCGUUAAUCGGAAUUACUGGGCGUAAAGCGCGCGUAGGUGGCUUGAUAAGCCGGUUGCGAAAGCCCCGGGCUCAACCUGGGAACGGCAUCCGGAACUGUCAAGCUAGAGUGCAGGAGAGGAAGGUAGAAUUCCCGGUGUAGCGGUGAAAUGCGUAGAGAUCGGGAGGAAUACCAGUGGCGAAGGCGGCCUUCUGGACUGACACUGACACUGAGGUGCGAAAGCGUGGGUAGCAAACAGGAUUAGAUACCCUUGUAGUC